rnacentral:misc_RNA from 1 species
UCUCGGCUUAUCACCGGCAGUCCCCUUAGAGUGCCCAACUUAAUGCUGGCAACUAAGAGCGAGGGUUGCGCUCGUUGCGGGACUUAACCCAACAUCUCACGACACGAGCUGACGACAGCCAUGCAGCACCUGUCACCGGUCCAGCCGAACUGAAGGAAUCCAUCUCUGGAAACCGCGACCGGGAUGUCAAGGGCUGGUAAGGUUCUGCGCGUUGCAUCGAAUUAAUCCACAUAAUCCACCGCUUGUGCGGGUCCCCGUCAAUUCCUUUGAGUUUUAGCCUUGCGGCCGUACUCCCCAGGCGGGGCGCUUAAUGUGUUAGCUACGGCGCGGAAACCGUGGAAGGUCCCCACACCUAGCGCCCAACGUUUACAGCGUGGACUAC